UUCUUCUUAAUGCAGAGCAGAGAAGCAGCUCUAUGAUCCAAAAUACAAACUGAGAGAUCAUCCCAGUAACUAUUUACAGCCCACGGAUAGCAAAGAAAAGAAGUGUGUAAAGUCAAGAAAAUCUAAAUGCCGGGAGCCCAGAACAAACAGGGAAAUGGAACCCUCAGAAAAUGGUUAACUUUCCAGUUCACGUCAUGGUCCCUGAAUUCUGAAAAUCACAAAGGCCUGACGCAGGAGGAAAUUUAUGGUAAAGACCCUGUCUGCUGACAGAUGGUGUUGGAGAAAUGGUUGCCACCUUUACGAUAGUUUACAUCAUCCUACUCUCCCUCACAUUCAAGGAAAGAGAAAAAAAAUGGUGGGUAAUGAUUUCUAUUUUAUUCAUUUGGUGCAACUUUUAAAUGAGGAAACCUAUAUUCCCCUAUGAAAUGCACGUUCUUUCCAAAAAACUUUUUCAUCAAAGCAAUACCCUGAUAGACCCAGUCACUCCUGUCUUAGUCAAUUCAGCCUGUUAAAACAAAGUAUCAUAGACUGGGUGGAUUAUAAACCACAGAAAUUUAUUCUUCAGAGUUCUGUAGGCUAGAAGUCCAAGAGCAGGGUGUCAGGUUCUGGUGAGGACCCUCUGCUGGGUUGCAGACUGUUGACUUCUCAUUGCAUCCCUACAGGUGGGAAAAAAAUCAAGAGAGCUCUCUGGGGACUCUUUAAUCAGGUCACUAAUUGCAUUCAUGAGGGCUCAACUCUCUCUCAUGACCUAAUCAAGUCCCAAAGGCUCCUCCUAAUACCAUCAACUUGGGGGUGAGGAUUUCAAGGUAUAAAUUUCAGGGGAUACAAACAUGCAGUCAUAAUGCCUUAUUUACAGAAAAUGUGUUUGUACCUUUCCGUUUUAAUAUAGGCAGCCUAAAUAUGUAAAAGAAAUGGAUUUAGACCUAAAAUACUCAUACUUUAUGGUUUAGUGAUAUCCCUCUAUAUUCAUUUAUUUAGUUUUCAAAACAAUUCUAUAAGUAGCUUUUAUAAUAUUGCCAGCAAUAACAGAAGACUUGAAGACUUGUCUAAGAUUUAAUAGCUAUUAAAUGGCAUCACCAGAACCAGUCUCUGACUUCCUAAUCCACCCUAUUUUUCUUCUAGCCCUGGGUGGAAUCACAGUGUUAGGAAUUAGAUAAAUAAACUUUCUCGCCCAUGUAUUAAUUUAGCUGAUCUGAAUGCUCUCCUUUAGGAAGAUUUUUCAGCAUUUCUCUAGACUUGAAGGUUUUUAUAAGGGUAAGAAACUCAAAAAGGAAUAAAGUAGACUCCUUUCACACUAAAAAUUACUUCUGACACCAUCUAGUGUUCCUGGUGUAUUUCUCAAUGUGUCCUAAGAAGUGACCAGCAUGUAAGUUAAUGCUUAUAUGUUUCAUAGGGAAGUUGGUAGCAACCAAGUAAAUUGAUUCCAAGUGAAAGCCUGUCUAUUCAUUAUUCACAAAUUCAAAUGGUAUCUUUUAUGGUUGGCAGCCUAUGAAACUCAUUCUGGUCUCAUUUCUUUGAUUUUUAUUUAUUUUCAUUUCCCAAAAUAAAUCCAUAACUUUGGAGUUAUCAGAUACACAAUAACUUAGCUAAUGAUGAACUGAUCUGAGAACUACAACUGUCCUCAUCCUAAGUAAUUAUUUCACUUGAAAUGGAAAUGGAUUUAACUUGAGAGUUGUGCAGACCCUUAGAAAAAUGCAGGAGACCUCACAUUUUCUCUCUUCCAGCAUAGAAUGAGCUACAAUCUGCAAACUGCAACACUUUUAAGGAAAUCAUGUGGGGUGGAAUCUGCACAGAUGACAGCUUCACAUUGGUGGACCUGACAGAUGACAUACUUAUUAAUAUCAUUAACACUGAGCAGCUAACUCUUCCAGCCCAUCCUAAAGAGUUUAAGAGUGCUCAAAAUUCUGAAACCCUCUGAAACAAGGGCAUUUAGAGAUACGACUUUUCCAAGUAUACAGGUAUUGCAUGGCUCAUUCAAAACCCUGACCUCACACUCUUGGAAGCUGCAACUAGUUGGAUUUCCACUUCAGUCUUCCCUGGAUUCUGAGGUCAAUCCUGGAGGCAGUUGGAAGGGUGUGUAGAGUAAGUAAAGUGUAGUGGCAUUUGCUAUGGAGUAUGAUGGAAACAACUCAUGGGUCUAGCUUUUUUUUGACCAUCUUCUUUAUUCUGCUCUAAAUCUAUGCAUGUAAGGGUUCCUGCUUCCUGUUCCUCUGUGACUAACAUCCUGAACUCUGAUUUCUUCCCAAGCCCUUCCCUGCCUAACCUACCAACUCCCUCUCUACAAGAAUUAUGUUUUCUGUCCCUGAACAAAGUAUUUUUAUGGCUACAUCUCCUAUAUCUAUUACUCUCUGGUACAACCUCUGCAAAAUUCCUAAUUAAUGACAUUUCUACUUUGUUCAUCUGUCCCGCCUGUCUUGUUUCUCACUACACUAACCACCUAAUUUAUGACAAAACUUCAAACUCAUGUCCUUUCAGGCCUGAAUCUAUAAAAAAAAGCAAGCAAGCAUGCAAGCAAGAAAGAGCCUCUAAGACAUGACUUCUUCCUUUUUCAGAACUCCUCAAAUGUCAGCAUAAGAUUCAAGUGAAAAUUCUGGGCUGAAUUUUAGGUGAGAUAUUCAGAUGACAAACAUUGUUUAGUAGCAUUGGGCUCCCCACUCAGAUCCUCCAGCAUUUUCACUUUGAACAAAGUAGUCCUUUGUGUUGCACUAUGGAUAUGAUUAGGAAAUAAGUGACAGUGUGUGGUCCUGUUUUUUUCCAGGUAAAUCAGUUAUUGCCAGGAAGCAUUUCACCUGUUCAAUACUUAGAUGGAAGAGGGAUGCAAUAUCCCAUUUCCAUCAUUAAUGUCUGUCACUCAACUAUGACAAAUUUCAUAAAUUAUCCUCAGGUGUCUAAUCUUAGUUUUCUUCCAAAUCCAAGAAGCAAUAUGAUUACUACUCUUCUUUUCCUAUAUUUUAAUGUUCCAAAUAACUCCAUAAACAAGAGGUACUGAAAAAAAUUCUGUGAGUGUCAGAGGGAUUCCCUUAAUGGAAAUGCAUCUUUAACCUUGAAUAUUUAAUCUUCAAACUGUUCAAUCAACCGUGAAUUCUCCACUAUAAAAUGCAUUGGCCUUUGAGCUUAUCUGAUUUCAGUUUACAUUAAGAGCUGAUGUUAUACAUACCCUCCAGAGAACUGGCCUUUCCCUCCUGGGUACAGUCAGCCUUCCUGGGUCUCUUUUCUCUCUGAGAGGAUGGACUUUUUGGGGGGUGGGGGUUCUUUAGAUUUUUUGGCUGACUCAGAGAAUAUCAAAGGAGAAAGAGUCCUUGGAGAUCUUUCAAAUAUGACUCCUCAUUUCUUAGAUAAGGAAACAAAGAUAAGUGAAAAGUGAUGGAUCCAAUGCUACUCAGCCGGAACACAGAUCACUCUCCUCCCAACUCAUUAGGCCAGCAGUAGGUGCUGAGUUUCUUUUCUUUACCAGGCAUUGCCCUAGGUUCUGUGAAUAUAAAAAACAGUCCUUGACUUCCAGCAGCCUGUGCACCCCACCGCCUCCUCCUUGAAGCGCAGAUGCAUCAUUUAAGGUAUUUGCCUGAACUCAAAUUAUACUUUCUUAAGAAGCUUCUGGAGGCUUUUCAUUUUAUCAGCCUCAGAGGACAAUCUCACCGGACUGAAAACUAAAUGCCUGUUUACUAAUCCAAGUGGUUGAGACCUUGAGGAAGAGCAAAAGGACAACCCACCUGAGUGUGCACAUUCACCUUGUACUCCCAGCAGCCCCGCAGUCUAUGGCUAUGAUUUAGUCUGGAGCAUCUACUAGAUCCAGAUUAGGGAGACCCUCCUUUUCACUUCCAUAACACUCCCUGUGCUUACUUGAUAUGUGGGUAUAUGUAUCUGUCUCCUCCAUUAGACUUGAGCUUCUCCAGGAUGUAAUUAUGCAUUCUACCCAUAAUGAUUAGCAUGGUACCAGACACUUAGUAGGUUCAUGCUAAAUAAUUUUCAAAUCCAUUAUUAAUAUUCAUAUAUUUAAAUUAGUUUGGCAUGGCAUGGCUAGGAAACAAGUUCUAGGAAAAGGGAUUUAGAGGUUGUGAAUUUGCUCUCUAUCCUGUAGUUUCUCUGAGUGUGCUUUUGGCCCCAUCACUUUUCAGUCCUUACCUCCAAUCAGCACAUGCAGGACAGGCACCUUCUGGCAAGGAAGGCAAGUUAUCCCUCACCUGGGAUCCCUGCCCCUCUGCACUUAGAGCAUGCAGCUGCAGCUGUGUUUCUGCACCUGUGGAAUUCAAAGCUGUGUGCACAGUCCCAGAGCAAUGCAGGCAAAGUUGCACAGGAAAGAAAGGUUAACACAUUCUGUCAGCUUCCUCUUUACAUUCAUGGUGGGGAAAAGUAAUAGAAAGGUUUUCAAGCAUAAAAGGAUCUUCCACUUCAACUACAAAAAAAAAAAAAGAAGAAGAAGAAGAAGAAGAAGAAAAAUGCCUCACAAAUAGCAUCUUCCCUUGGACAUCAAAUUGCUCUGCUGACAGGAUUCUUAAUCAAAAAGUCCAAAGAAGAAAGACGAGUGGAAUUUACAAAGACUCACCCAGAGAGAAUAAAUGAAGACAUGUGUUGUGCUUCUGUAGGUGAAAAAGGGUGGCAGAUACUCAGGACUCUGCUCUGGAGGCUCUGGAACUUGUUAUUGGAUCAACUGCUCUGAGUCCCCAGACACACUGACCUGAGCAGUAUCAGUGUUCCCCAUGACAUGGGCUGUCACCAGUAGAAUUUCCACUGUGCAUGCUGAUUAGAGGAGAUGGUGACAAAGAGGCCCUGAAUGGUGGAUAGCAGCCCCCUCUGCCUGGAAGGCUUUGAUACCGUGGAGCAUCAUCUAAGUUCUGCAUUCUCAAUUAUAACCAAGUUAAGUUACUUUAUGCAUGUAUUAAGUCACUACUUAGAAACUUACCAUGAGUCAUACUUGGCUUCAAACACCUCUGCCUGCCAUGAGAAAAUUCUGAGUAUGAAGAAAAUUUUUAUUUACUAUAAAACUUUGGCAUUUUAGGCUGCAGACAUCUGUUGCCAGGAAGAAUAAAGAAAGAAAAUGAAGGAUGAGGGAAGGGAAGAUUCAGUAACUUCUUGAGCUGGUAUGAUCACCCAAUCCUGUGAGGGAAUAGCAGGUAUUUGACAUGAGGCUCAAAAUAAAAUCAAUUGCAUUUUG